ACAAAUUAUGCAACAAAAAUGAUCAAAAUACCUGUUAAAUAAAUUAAAAUAAAGGAAGUAUUAAAUCAAAAUUGAACAGAAUAAGCAUUAAUUGAACAAAAAUCAAAAAGAAUAAACAACAAAAUGAAGAAAAUAAGG